AUGAGCAACAUGUCUGAAGCAGUCCGUGAAGUUGCUAUUGCUAUCAAGUCCACCGGAGAGGCACAUCCUGAACUUUAUGAUGUUGUCAUGGAGCUCCCUAGUUUUACCGAGGAUGAUACGUUGAUUGUCUUGGACUAUCUCAAUGAGAAUUCCAACAGGGCUAGGAGCCACUCAUUCGUGCAGAUGUCAGAGACUCGUCGCACUCGUUGGGUCAUGCACCACCUCUCCGAGGUCAACGGUGGAGUGCCCGUGCCCAAGGAAGGACUGCCCAAGGAUGGAAUGCCUAUGACCAGCGAUGAAGUGCCCAAGGGUGGAGUGUGA
rnacentral:rRNA from 1 species